AAGCAACACUCUGUGUCAGAAGUUGGAAACAACAAGUAUUUGGCACAAUUUCAGCUUGCCCAAGUAAACUACAGUCUGACCUAUUCUAGCACUCUCUUCAUUGGGAUUUGCUGUUGAGCGGACUGUUACAAA